UCUCAGGUCCUGCAGAAGGAGACCCUCAUGCCUGUGUGUGUGGUCCCAGAGGAAGAGAGAAGUCACUCAGGCUGCAGCAACUAAGUCUGCUUCUGUACUAGUGAGAGUUCUCCGUAGUAUCCUCACUGCCACCGCUUUCCAAAUAUUAGUGAACAACAACUCCCCCAUCAAGCCUAUUACCCAUACCACCAUCAUGACUUUAGAGGUGAGAAUGAAGGCUGGCCACACACAGCAACUCUGUCCUUUUCUGGAAAACAUAAUAGUGUUGGGCUAUAAUUAAACCUGUCAGUCAAGUCGAUUUAUUACUUCAUUUCAAGGGAGUACUUCCUGAAGCUGGAGAAAACCCACCCACUAUUGUAAUUACAGCCCAUUAUGACUCAUUUGGCCUUGCUCUUGUAAGUCACCACACACAUAUACACAGGGAGAUCAACUACACUGAAGGCACUUUUCCCCCCAGUAUAUAUUAAUAAAUGCUUCAUCUUUUUUGGUCACAUAAUACAUCACACUCUCUUUAAACAUGAUUCCGAAUGAUUUAUGGAUGUUGCAAUUGGCAUUCACUUGCUGUGGGGACUGAGCCUUUCAAACAGCCUUUCAAAAGAAUAAAGAUACUUUUGAUAUUUUAUUUUUUCAAAGUACAUUAGUUUUUUAUUAAUUUUUAUUUUAGUGUGUAUUAUGAGAUUGCAUGUGUGUCUAGUGGCUGGCGUAUGGUGCAGACUCUAAUGGCAUGGCUGUUUUCAACUCUUUCAUCUCCUCUACAGUGACCCACGAAGCCAGGCUCCCUUAGUUCUUUCUUUAUUUUAUAAAAUCAAAUGUUUGUGUUGGGAAAAUAAUUUAAAAACUGGGAACACGAACACUAUUUUGCAUUAUUUUUCAUUAACAUCUUUUAGAUACCACCUUUUAUUCUCCCUGACUGGUGGUGGUAAAUAUAUCUUCCUGGGCACCAAGCGUUGGCUGGAGGACAAUAUGGACCAUGCAUAACUAUGUCUACACUAAACUGAAAGCAAAUGUGAAAGCCAAGAAUCCAAUAAACUGGACUAAAGCAGAAACAUUAGACAACCAUUGCACAUCUACAACACAAAUUUUGGAAUUCAUGUCUUGAUUUUUUUUUAUUGUGUU